rnacentral:rRNA from 1 species
AGGCCGUGGCGGGGGCUUACACAUGCAGUCGAGCGGGGAAGGGUAGCUUGCUACCUGACCUAGCGGCGGACGGGUGAGUAAUGCUUAGGAAUCUGCCUAUUAGUGGGGGACAACAUUCCGAAAGGAAUGCUAAUACCGCAUACGCCCUACGGGGGAAAGCAGGGGAUCUUCGGACCUUGCGCUAAUAGAUGAGCCUAAGUCAGAUUAGCUAGUUGGUGGGGUAAAGGCCUACCAAGGCGACGAUCUGUAGCGGGUCUGAGAGGAUGAUCCGCCACACUGGGACUGAGACACGGCCCAGACUCCUACGGGAGGCAGCAGUGGGGAAUAUUGGACAAUGGGCGAAAGCCUGAUCCAGCCAUGCCGCGUGUGUGAAGAAGGCCUUUUGGUUGUAAAGCACUUUAAGCGAGGAGGAGGCUACUGAGAUUAAUACUCUUGGAUAGUGGACGUUACUCGCAGAAUAAGCACCGGCUAACUCUGUGCCAGCAGCCGCGGUAAUACAGAGGGUGCGAGCGUUAAUCGGAUUUACUGGGCGUAAAGCGUGCGUAGGCGGCUUUUUAAGUCGGAUGUGAAAUCCCUGAGCUUAACUUAGGAAUUGCAUUCGAUACUGGGAAGCUAGAGUAUGGGAGAGGAUGGUAGAAUUCCAGGUGUAGCGGUGAAAUGCGUAGAGAUCUGGAGGAAUACCGAUGGCGAAGGCAGCCAUCUGGCCUAAUACUGACGCUGAGGUACGAAAGCAUGGGGAGCAAACAGGAUUAGAUACCCUGGUAGUCCAUGCCGUAAACGAUGUCUACUAGCCGUUGGGGCCUUUGAGGCUUUAGUGGCGCAGCUAACGCGAUAAGUAGACCGCCUGGGGAGUACGGUCGCAAGACUAAAACUCAAAUGAAUUUGACGGGGGCCCGCACAAGCGGUGGAGCAUGUGUUUAAUUCGAUGCAACGCGAAGAACCUUACCUGGUCUUGACAUAGUAAGAACUUUCCAGAGAUGGAUUGGUGCCUUCGGGAACUUAAAAUAAAAGGUGCUGC